UGCUUACACAUGCAAGUCGAACGAUGAAGCCGCUUCGGUGGUGGAUUAGUGGCGAACGGGUGAGUAACACGUGGGCAAUCUGCCCUGCACUCUGGGACAAGCCCUGGAAACGGGGUCUAAUACCGGAUACGACACAGGAGGGCAUCUUCUCUGUGUGGAAAGCUCCGGCGGUGCAGGAUGAGCCCGCGGCCUAUCAGCUUGUUGGUGGGGUGAUGGCCUACCAAGGCGACGACGGGUAGCCGGCCUGAGAGGGCGACCGGCCACACUGGGACUGAGACACGGCCCAGACUCCUACGGGAGGCAGCAGUGGGGAAUAUUGCACAAUGGGCGAAAGCCUGAUGCAGCGACGCCGCGUGAGGGAUGACGGCCUUCGGGUUGUAAACCUCUUUCAGCAGGGAAGAAGCGCAAGUGACGGUACCUGCAGAAGAAGCACCGGCUAACUACGUGCCAGCAGCCGCGGUAAUACGUAGGGUGCGAGCGUUGUCCGGAAUUAUUGGGCGUAAAGAGCUCGUAGGCGGCUUGUCACGUCGGAUGUGAAAGCCCGGGGCUUAACCCCGGGUCUGCAUUCGAUACGGGCAGGCUAGAGUUCGGUAGGGGAGAUCGGAAUUCCUGGUGUAGCGGUGAAAUGCGCAGAUAUCAGGAGGAACACCGGUGGCGAAGGCGGAUCUCUGGGCCGAUACUGACGCUGAGGAGCGAAAGCGUGGGGAGCGAACAGGAUUAGAUACCCUGGUAGUCCACGCCGUAAACGUUGGGAACUAGGUGUGGGCGACAUUCCACGUCGUCCGUGCCGCAGCUAAC
rnacentral:rRNA from 1 species